UGGUAAGUGCGGGUCAGCGGCGGCGGGAAUACGGAGGGGGCUGAGGUGGUUCGUAAUCACUGGGCGUAAAGCGCGCGUAGGCUGCUUUUCAAGUCAGGGGUGAAAUCCUUGGGCUCAACCCAAGAACUGCCUUUGAAACUGUAAGGCUGGAGUGUCGGAGGGGAUAGCGGAAUUCCUAAUGUAGUGGUGAAAUACGUAGAUAUUAGGAGGAACACCGGUGGCGAAGGCGGCUAUCUGGACGACAACUGACGCUGAGGCGCGAAAGCGCGGGGAUCAAACAGGAUUAGAUACCCUGGUAGC
rnacentral:rRNA from 1 species